rnacentral:rRNA from 1 species
CGGGUGCACUGAUCCGGCCGGGCCUUUCCCUCUGUGGAACCCCAUGGCCUUCACUGGCUGUGCGGGGGAAACAGGACUUUUACUGUGAAAAAAUUAGAGUGCUCCAGGCAGGCCUAUGCUCGAAUACAUUAGCAUGGAAUAAUAGAAUAGGACGCGUGGUUCUAUUUUGUUGGUUUCUAGGACCGCCGUAAUGAUUAAUAGGGACAGUCGGGGGCAUCAGUAUUCAAUUGUCAGAGGUGAAAUUCUUGGAUCUAUUGAAGACUAACUACUGCGAAAGCAUUUGCCAAGGAUGUUUUCAUUGAUAAGGAACGAAAGUUAGGGGAUCGAAGACGAUCAGAUACCGUCGUAGUCUUAACUAUAAACUAUGCCGACUAGGGAUCGGACGAUGUUAUUUCUUGACGCGUUCGGCACCUUUCGAGAAAUCAAAGUGCUUGGGCUCCAGGGGGAGUAUGGUCGCAAGGCUGAAACUUAAAGAAAUUGACGGAAGGGCACCACCAGGGGUGGAACCUGCGGCUUAAUUUGACUCAACACGGGGAAACUCACCGGGUCCAGACACAAUGAGGAUUGACAGAUUGAGAGCUCUUUCUUGAUUUUGUGGGUGGUGGUGCAUGGCCGUUCUUAGUUGGUGGAGUGAUUUGUCUGCUUAAUUGCGAUAACGAACGAGACCUUAACCUGCUAAAUAGCCCGUACUGCUCUGGCAGUUCGCCGGCUUCUUAGAGGGACUAUCGG